ACACACAUACACUGGGAGAUCCUAUAACCGACAUAAACCAUGUGAGCUACAUGGAGUCCAACGUACAACCCACGUUGGGGAGAGUCAUCCUAUCCUUGCCAUCGAAGUAGGACUUCCAGUAUUAAUUCAAAAACACUAGUGAUCACUAUAUAAAUCAGCCUCAGGCUCAAAUCCUAUGGGGGCACGUAGUUCUAGGGAACUAAGGCCACUUUAUACCUCCCACUCGGUGCUAAAGAUUACUCUCG
rnacentral:lncRNA from 1 species